rnacentral:rRNA from 1 species
AUUUGUCUGGUUAAUUCCGAUAACGAACGAGACCUUAACCUGCUAACUAGAUUCUUUCAUCUUAUGAUUGUUAUCUUCUUAGAGGGACUAUGUAACAUAAAUACAUGGAAGUUUGAGGCAAUAACAGGUCAGUGAUGCCCUUAUAUGUCCUGGGCUGCACGCGUACUACACUGAUGUAUACAGCAAGUGCCGAGCCAGACAUGGCAUGGCAAUCUCGAAUAUGCAUCGUGAUGGGGAUAGAUCUUUGCAAUUAUAGAUCUUGAACGAGGAAUUCCUAGUAAGUGCAAGUCAUCAUCUUGCAUUGAUUAUGUCCCUGCCCUUUGUACACACCGCCCGUCGCUCCUACCGAUACCGGGUGAUCCGGUGAACCUUUUGGACCCGCAUGGGGAAGAUAAGUAAACCAUAUCACCUAGAGGAAGGAGAAGUCGUAACAAGGUUUCCGUAGGUGAACCUGCRGAAGGAUCA